rnacentral:lncRNA from 1 species
UUCUAUGUCACCGUUGCAAUCUCAUGGCGUUGCAAAAACAAAAGGAAGUCAGUGAAACCGUAAAGAAAACUAAAGAGAACAUAGACCUGGGGUUGAAGCCUCUCAGUUCGUUGAACAAGCAUUUUGGUUAGAACAAGCACCUGUGAAACUUCGACUUCCAUAUCCUUGAACAGCUAGAGUUUUCAUGAUUGUUGUUUUCAUUGAGGUUGGACCAUUGUCAUGUACGUCUUCAACUGGAUUGAAGUUCUGAAGUCGCAGAUGCCCAACGUUGUUUCUGGUCUUGCGUUGAGCGCAGCAGCAACAUCACUGACAAUCUCUCCAAAAUGUUGACACAGAAUCUCUCCAAUCUCGUAGCAUUUUUCUUCUUGGACACAGCGUUUUUUAGUUCUUAUCGUGGUUGAGCAGCACUAACAUGUCACUUGUCUUUUUCAUGACAAGAAAUUAGAACAAAUUGAAACACACACAAACCUGACAACAUGAAGCUAAGUAUGUCAACUUUCAAUGAUCGUUAGUUUUGUUCGUAUUCACAAGUUUCCCUUCCCGUUAAAAGUUUCUUGGACCGUUGUUUUGCGCAUAGCUUGUUUAAGUCGUUUGAGCAUAUAAUCUUAGCUUGACUGUGUGUCACUGGCUCCCUUUUGCGCUGAGCAUAGCAUCUUCUUGACCCCGUCGACAAUCUCAAUCGAAAAGAAAGAGCGUCUUCAAACGUUGAGAGUUUCAACAAAUUCUUGAUUGCUUCUAGCCUCUCUUUUAUCGUGAUCAUUCUACAUAUUUCUUGUCUCCAGCAAAUCUCUCUUGUUUCGUUGUCUUACUCACUUAUUGCUAACACAAAGAAAAGCCCUGAACAAACUUACCUUGCGAGGUGGAGAGGUGCGAGAGUGGACCGGGCCUGUCAAGGAUCAGCGACGGAUCAUGAUCGUUGUUUUCAUUGAGGUUGGACCAUUGUCAUGUACAUUUUCAACAAACAUUUUGGUUAGAACAAACAGCUCACGAACCUGUUAAACUUCGACUUCCAUAUCGUUGGACAGCCAGAGUUUUCAUGAUCGUUGUUUUCGUUGAGGUUGGACCAUUGUCAUGUACGUCUUCAACUGGAUUGAAGUUUUGAAGAUUGCAGAUGCCCGACGUUGUUUCUCAGCUCGCAGGUCUUGCGUUGAGCAGCAGCAACAUCGCUGACAAUCUCUACAAAAUGUUGGCAUAGAAUCUCUCCAAUCUCGUAGCAUUUUUCUUCUUGGACACAGCGUUUUUUAGUUCUUAUCGUGGUUGAGCAGCACCAACAUGUCACUUGUCUUUUUGAUGACAAGAACUUUGAACAAAUUGAAACACACACAAACCUGACAACAAGUUUCCCUUCGCGUUGAGAGUUCCUUGGAUCGUUGUUUUGCACUUAGCUUGUUUGAGUUGUUUGUUCAAGCAUAUUAUAUUAACUUGGACUGUGUGCGUUGAGCAUAGCAUCGAAAAGAAAGAGCGUCUUCAAACGUUGAGAGUUUCAACACGAAUUCUUAAUCGCCUCUAGCCUAGAGAAUACCUCUUAGCUCGUUGCAAGCAGCUUCGCUUUCUUGUCUCCAGCAAAUCUCUCUUGUUUCGUUGUCUUACUCUAAACGAACUUACCUUUACCUUGCGAGGCGAGAGUGGACUUGAUCCGUCGCUGAUCCUUGACAGGCCCUGAUCGUUGUUUUCAUUGAGGUUGGACCAUUGUCAGGUAGAACUUCAGCUGGAUUUAAGUUCUGAAGAUCGCAGUUUCCCAACGUUGUUUCUCAGCUCGCAGGUCUUGCGUUGAGCGCAGCAACAACACAACUCAAAGCUCCAAAACGUUGACACAAAAUCUCUCCAAUCCAGUAGCAUUUCUCUUCUUGGCACACGCUGUGACAUGGCGUUUUUCAGUUCUUAUCGUCGUUGAGCAGCACCCUUCAUGACAAGAAAUUAGAACAAAUCGAAACACACGCGAACCUGGCAACGUGAAACUAAGUAUCGUUGAUUGUUAGUUUUGUUCGUAUUCACACAGCGUUGUCCACAUCGGUGAGUUUCCCUUCGCGUUGAGAGUUCCUUGGCCCGUUGUCUUGCACUUUGCUUGUUUGAGUUGUUUGUUGUGUCACUGGCCCUUUUGCGUUGCAAUCGAAAAGAAAGAGCGCGUUGAGAGUUUCAACACGAUUUCUUGAUCGCCUCUAGCAUACCUCUUAGCUCGUUGCAAGAAGCUUCGCUUUCCAAAUCUCUGUCUUACUCGCUUAUUGCUAACGCAAAGAAAAGCCCUACCUAAACGAACUUACCUUGCGAGGGUGGAGAGAGGCAAAGCGGCCUACCAUGGGCAGAGGGGAAGGAUCGGCGACCACCAACCCCAACCCCAAGAUCCGCGGCAUCCACCAUCACUGCCCUAGCCCUUUAUCAUCGAUGAACUCUAAACUUG